GCAUGUGUAAGGAGCUGGGAGCAAGAACAUGGGCUGUUGGAGGACUGAAAGCAUUAUCAGACACCAGGAGGAAGGUCCUAUGGGCUUCCCACCAAGUGAAUGCCACUUCCUCCUUUUCAAUUGACGCUGAGUGGUAAUGUUAGCAGCUGAAAUGACCUGAUAGAAGAAGCAAAACAAAUUGGAUGUAAGGCAGACUGGAGAUGAGACAGGCAUCACCAUGGAUAGAAUCUAGGUCCUUCAGAAUUAAAGCACGGAUGUAUACCUGGAAAGAACUCCUUUGGCUCUUAGCAAUAGUAGGCACCUAUCCUCUAAGUGGACCAGCCACUAGAAGGUUAUUUCAAAUCAAGAUGUGAGCCAGAUUCUCAGCGCCAUUUUUUCUGCACCUAGCUCAAGAUGGGUGGCUACAAAGGUGGAGUUAAGCCAAAUUUAUGCAUCAUGGGGGCUGCUAAGCAUUGGUCCUAUCCUGACAUUCUAUUUAGAGCAGCCUAAAAGCUGCUGUAACUUGUUCAGGCUGGUAAUAGCCUCCAAGGUGGUGUUAAUGCAACUGGGGAUUGGCCAGAUAUAGCAGCUCUUUCUCUAAACCCCAUAUGUGGGGCAGAGGAUGAGGCGGGGCAGGAGCUGUCAUUACAAAGGAAUGCUUUGUUGUCCAGUUAAGCCACGUGUGUGGCAAUUUUGGGCUUGCAGACCAGUACAAAGCAGCAACAGCAAUGGUCAUGAUCAAGCCUAAGAUAUCUGACAAUACAUUGGGAUUUUUACUUAUGCUUUAGAUAAAUGAAAUGAAUCAACUUUUAGUCUUUUUAUCACUGUUUUGUGUGCUGGAAAAGUAUGUGGAGGGAGAGUUGGCUGUUAAAACAAUUAAAAUACAAAAACAGAGUAUAUAAAAACUUACCCUAUACCUAAUCCUUUUGAGAGAUCUUAGAGUUUUAACAGAAAAUAGAUCCAGAUGGGUAGUAGGCCUAGUGCUCUUGAGAGACACUCAGAAGUAGCCUGCAGUUCAAAACAUUUUGGACUUAUGGCUCUACAGGCUUGUUUAUUUGACUAUUUAAAUUCACCAAAACUUUUAAAAAUAAAAACAUUGAAGAAAAGAAAGAUUAUCCCUGAGGUCCUUCAUUGGGAUUCAUGGUGACCCUUUUGUUGAAAUGUGAUUGUAGUCUUUCUUUAGCCUCUUCCUACAAAAAUUUGGGAUUUUCCUACUGAUAAAUACUGCUAUUGAAAACUUGGGGCAUGCAGUUGGGCAUGCAUUUUUCAUAUAUAAUUGUCUGGACCUAGUUCUGAUAUACAUGCUUUAAUUAAGUGUGCAAUUUUUCAAAGAUGAGAUCAGUUGGUACGCCCACAUAAAAUACAUGCAUGCUUGUAGUAACUGGAAAACCCCACGUUUGUCUUUCCAUUGCCAUAUCAGUGAUAGUGCAUGCUACCUGAUUUGUGCAUACAAAUGCUAGUUUGCAUUUUAAAGGUGUGGUGGGUUGCAAAGUUCUAAACUGACCAUAGACAGCACUCCAAUUUGUUCAGUAUUUUGAUCUGAAGAUCAGUGGGGCACAAAAAUCAUGAUGGACUGAUUUGGUUUUUUUUUUUUUCUUUAAUGCUUAAGUAGCGAUCAUUUAACAAAGUUUUGGGGCAACUAGAGCCCUUCCAACGAGUACAGUUAUAUAUCCCAAAGACAGGAUGAAUUUCAGUUUACUUACCAGCUCCUGGGCCAGAUUCUGCUCUCAGUUACACCAGUGUAAAUCCAGACUAACCUCAUUGGUGUAAGCAAGAGUAGAAUGUGGCCCUUAAUGUUUCAUUUCCCAAGGAUGUGGAAAUAUUUUUUUGUGGGCAAGGAUCAAAUCGCAUGAAAUAGACACUAAUUAGAAUUAGAAUUUUAGAUAUUUUUUUGAAAAAAUAAAUGUAUCCUCCAUAGACAUAUUUUACAGAUCUGUUUUUGCAGAGCUUGGAAAACUUGAACUAACAUUUCUGCUUUCAGCUGUCAUUCUGGCAUUGGAGGUUAGUAAACCAGACACUUUUUUUUUAAUUGCAUGUAAAAACAGACGAUUCGCCUUACAUUUCAAACUCUAUAUUGGCCCACACUCUUGGAAUUGCUUGAAUUCUUGCUGGCUCACUAGUGAGGUUUUUAUUUGCUUUCUUUUCAUCUAGAGACAUCUGCAUUCAAGUUUGUGAUGGAGUGUGAAAUGAAAUCAUUGGGGAAAUUGUAGUGAGCACGUGAGCUUUGGUGGGGAAGGAGGAAGGGGGAGCUUGUUCUUAGUUGAGAACUCUCUAAAACUGUUUGUUGUGGCCCUUAUUCCAAACGUCCUCUGUUAUUCUCACCUACCAGACAGAGACAGCCUUAAAUCCUCUCUUUUUAUAUACUGAAAGGCAGUUCAACAAAUAAUGCACUGGGGGUGUUCAGUAAUAUUUUGUAAGAGAAUGUAAUAUUAAGCCUGGACUGCACUGUUAAUAACAAAUAAAAUAAUAAUGAUUAUUUGUUUGUUUGAGUUGUGGUAGCACCUGGAGGCUCCAAUCUGAAUCAGGGCCAUGUUGUGCCAGGCCUUGUACUAACACACAGAAAGACCUAGUUCCUGCCUCAUGUAAUUUACAAUCUAAGGGUUAGAUCUUGCAACUAGAUCCCCUGAGAUGAUCUCUGUACCUGAGUGCAGGCAUAUGGGCAUACUCCUGAGUAUAGGUUUGUGGGUUUUCAUUGUGUGUGUCAUUUUUACCCCAUUCCCUUGCACAUGUAUCCUUUCUUCAACUUUGCUUUCCCUCCCACUUUCUGGCAAUCAGGUAAGCAGGCUGUUUUUUAAUGGCCUUGCCCCUCUUUUACUAUCACUCACGGCAAAACUCAACUCUUCUUUGAUAUGUUCCCUUGGUGAAAUCCUGUCUCC